AUUGAACGCUGGCGGCAUGCCUUACACAUGCAAGUCGAACGGCAGCACGGGUGCUUGCACCUGGUGGCGAGUGGCGAACGGGUGAGUAAUACAUCGGAACAUGUCUUGUAGUGGGGGAUAGCCCGGCGAAAGCCGGAUUAAUACCGCAUACGAUCUACGGAUGAAAGCGGGGGACCUUCGGGCCUCGCGCUAUAGGGUUGGCCGAUGGCUGAUUAGCUAGUUGGUGGGGUAAAGGCCUACCAAGGCGACGAUCAGUAGCUGGUCUGAGAGGACGACCAGCCACACUGGGACUGAGACACGGCCCAGACUCCUACGGGAGGCAGCAGUGGGGAAUUUUGGACAAUGGGCGAAAGCCUGAUCCAGCAAUGCCGCGUGUGUGAAGAAGGCCUUCGGGUUGUAAAGCACUUUUGUCCGGAAAGAAAUCCUUGGCCCUAAUACGGUCGGGGGAUGACGGUACCGGAAGAAUAAGCACCGGCUAACUACGUG
rnacentral:rRNA from 1 species